rnacentral:rRNA from 1 species
UUUGUAGGUGGCUUGCUAAGUCACACGUGAAAUCCCUCAGCUUAACUGGGGAACUGCGUGUGAGACUGGCAGGCUCGAGUGCAGGAGAGGAAUGCGGAAUUCCAGGUGUAGCGGUGAAAUGCGUAGAUAUCUGGAGGAACACCGGUGGCGAAGGCGGCAUUCUGGACUGCAGCUGACGCUGAAAAACGAAAGCCAGGGGAGCAAACG